rnacentral:rRNA from 4 species
UGUGGUAAUGAUGGCAAGAAGGACACACCUGUCACCAUGUCGAACACAGAAGUUAAGCUUCUUAGCGCCGAGGGUAGUUGGGGCAUUGCCCCUGUGAGAGUAGGACGUUGCCACGC